rnacentral:rRNA from 1 species
UACGUAGGUGGCGAGCGUUGUCCGGAAUUACUGGGUGUAAAGCGCGUGUAGGCGGGAGGCCAAGUCUGCGGUGAAAUCGCUCGGCUCAACUGGGCGGGGUCCGUGGAAACUGGUCACCUGGAGGACGGUAGAGGAGCGUGGAAUUCCCAGUGUAGAGGUGAAAUUCGUAGAUAUUGGGAAGAACACCGGUGGCGAAGGCGGCGCUCUGGACCGAGACUGACGCUGAGGCGCGAAGGCGUGGGGAGCAAACAGG